AUACUGUGCAUAGAACACGCAUGGUUUACUGCUCUGACUGUAGUGUACUUCCAUUGAUGUCUCCUGUAGAGCAAGAGGAAUAUGAGCAGCUUGAGGUGGGGGAAUGUCUGCAUGUCCUCUUCCCCAGCCAUAUAUGCUUUACCUAGGCAGGAGGUAGGGGCAGGGGCCAGUUCCUCCACCUUGCUAUCAGUGAACAUCCUGAACCAUCCUGUUAUCCUACCCAUGACAAUGCUACCUACGGCUCCCUCACCACAUCUCCCAGUGCAUGUGGGUGCAGAGCAGCAUAAGCUCCAGUGCAGAACUCGGUCCCUGCAGCUGUGCCAAGGUUACCGAGAGAACUGCAGCAAGCGACCUCAGAAAGCCUCACAUAUACAUGAGCAGUUGACCCGCACCAGGUCCUUUCCUCUCUUUAAGCAACAGAUCACCCAUC
ensembl:lncRNA